rnacentral:rRNA from 1 species
UACGUAGGUGGCAAGCGUUGUUCGGAAUUAUUGGGCGUAAAGGGUGAGUAGGCGGUUUGUUAAGUCUGAUGUGAAAGCCCACGGCUCAACCGUGGAGGGUCAUUGGAAACUGGGGGACUUGAGUACAGAAGAGAAGAGUGGAAUUCCACGUGUAGCGGUGAAAUGCGUAGAGAUGUGGAGGAACACCAGUGGCGAAGGCGACUCUUUGGUCUGUAACUGACGCUGAGGCGCGAAAGCGUGGGGAGCAAACAGG